rnacentral:rRNA from 1 species
GACGAACGCUGGCGGCGUGCCUAACACAUGCAAGUCGAACGGCAAGGCCCUGGCUUUGUCGGGUGCUCGAGUGGCGAACGGGUGAGUAACGCGUGAGUAACCUGCCCUUCACUUUGGGAUAACUACAGGAAACUAGGGCUAAUACCGCAUAACAGCUCCUACUGCAUGGUGGGGGGUGGAAAGUUUCGGCGGUUGGGGAUGGACGCGGGGCUUAGGAGCUUGAGGGUGGGGUAUUGGCUACCCCAGGCUCUGACGGGUAGACGGCCUGGGAGGGUGACCGGCCCCAGUGGGACUGAGGUACGACCCAGAGGGGUACGGGGGACAGCGGUGGGGAAUAUUGCACAGUGGGCGGAAGCCUGAUGCAGCGGCGUCGCGGGCGGAAUGACGGCUUUCGGGGAGUAAACCGCUUUCGCCUGUGACGAAGCGUGCGUGACGGUAAUGGAUAAAGAAGCACCGGCUAACUACGUG